rnacentral:rRNA from 1 species
CGGGACACGUGGUAUCCUGUCUGAAUAUGGGGGGACCAUCCUCCAAGGCUAAAUACUCCUGACUGACCGAUAGUGAACCAGUACCGUGAGGGAAAGGCGAAAAGAACCCCGGCGAGGGGAGUGAAAAAGAACCUGAAACCGUGUACGUACAAGCAGUGGGAGCACGCUUAGGCGUGUGACUGCGUACCUUUUGUAUAAUGGGUCAGCGACUUAUAUUCUGUAGCAAGGUUAACCGAAUAGGGGAGCCGAAGGGAAACCGAGUCUUAACUGGGCGUUAAGUUGCAGGGUAUAGACCCGAAACCCGGUGAUCUAGCCAUGGGCAGGUUGAAGGUUGGGUAACACUAACUGGAGGACCGAACCGACUAAUGUUGAAAAAUUAGCGGAUGACUUGUGGCUGGGGGUGAAAGGCCAAUCAAACCGGGAGAUAGCUGGUUCUCCCCGAAAGCUAUUUAGGUAGCGCCUCGUGAAUUCAUCUCCGGGGGUAGAGCACUGUUUCGGCAAGGGGGUCAUCCCGACUUACCAACCCGAUGCAAACUGCGAAUACCGGAGAAUGUUAUCACGGGAGACACACGGCGGGUGCUAACGUCCGUCGUGAAGAGGGAAACAACCCAGACCGCCAGCUAAGGUCCCAAAGUCAUGGUUAAGUGGGAAACGAUGUGGGAAGGCCCAGACAGCCAGGAUGUUGGCUUAGAAGCAGCCAUCAUUUAAAGAAAGCGUAAUAGCUCACUGGUCGAGUCGGCCUGCGCGGAAGAUGUAACGGGGCUAAACCAUGCACCGAAGCUGCGGCAGCGACGCUGAUGCGUUGUUGGGUAGGGGAGCGUUCUGUAAGCCUGUGAAGGUGUGCUGUGAGGCAUGCUGGAGGUAUCAGAAGUGCGAAUGCUGACAUAAGUAACGAUAAAGCGGGUGAAAAGCCCGCUCGCCGGAAGACCAAGGGUUCCUGUCCAACGUUAAUCGGGGCAGGGUGAGUCGACCCCUAAGGCGAGGCCGAAAGGCGUAGUCGAUGGGAAACAGGUUAAUAUUCCUGUACUUGGUGUUACUGCGAAGGGGGGACGGAGAAGGCUAUGUUGGCCGGGCGACGGUUGUCCCGGUUUAAGCGUGUAGGCUGGUUUUCCAGGCAAAUCCGGAAAAUCAAGGCUGAGGCGUGAUGACGAGGCACUACGGUGCUGAAGCAACAAAUGCCCUGCUUCCAGGAAAAGCCUCUAAGCAUCAGGUAACAUCAAAU